UCGAGCGAAAUAAUUGAGAGCUUGCUUUUGAUUAUUUUAGCGGCGGACGGGUGAGUAACGUGUGGGUAACCUGCCUUUUACUGUGGAAUAAUCGUUGGAAACGACGACUAAUACCGCAUACGGUUCUUGGAAGGCAUCUUCUAAGAAAGAAAGGAUUUAUUCGGUAAAAGAUGGGCCCGCAUCUGAUUAGCUAGUUGGUGAGAUAAUAGCCCACCAAGGCAACGAUCAGUAGCCGACCUGAGAGGGUGACCGGCCACAUUGGGACUGAGACACGGCCCAAACUCCUACGGGAGGCAGCAGUGGGGAAUAUUGCACAAUGGGCGAAAGCCUGAUGCAGCAACGCCGCGUGAAGGAAGACGGUUUUCGGAUUGUAAACUUCUAUCAAUAGGGAAGAAAGAAAUGACGGUACCUAAAUAAGAAGCCCCGGCUAACUACGUGCCAGCAGCCGCGGUAAUACGUAGGGGGCAAGCGUUAUCCGGAAUUACUGGGUGUAAAGGGAGAGUAGGCGGCAAGGUAAGCGAUAUGUGAAAGCCUUAGGCUUAACCAAAGGAUUGCAUAACGAACUAUCUAGCUAGAGUACAGGAAAGGAAAGCGGAAUUCCUAGUGUAGCGGUGAAAUGCGUAGAUAUUAGGAAGAACACCAGUGGCGAAGGCGGCUUUCUGGACUGAAACUGACGCUGAGGCUCGAAAGCGUGGGGAGCGAACAGGAUUAGAUACCCUGGUAGUCCACGCUGUAAACGAUGAGUGCUAGGUGUCGGGGAGGAAUUCCCGGUGCCGGAGCAAACGCAAUAAGCACUCCACCUGGGGAGUACGACCGCAAGGUUGAAACUCAAAGGAAUUGACGGGGGCCCGCACAAGCGGUGGAGCAUGUGGUUUAAUU
rnacentral:rRNA from 1 species